GGGCUAUAGCACAGUUGGUAGCGCGCUACAUUCGCAUUGUAGAGGCCAGGGGUUCGAAUCCCCUUAGCUCC
rnacentral:tRNA from 3 species